UACGUAGGGUGCGAGCGUUUGUCCGGAAUUAUUGGGCGUAAAGGGCUCGUAGGCGGUUUGUCGCGUCUGCCGUGAAAGUCCGGGGCUCAACUCCGGAUCUGCGGUGGGUACGGGCAGACUAGAGUGCGGUAGGGGAGAUCGGAAUUCCUGGUGUAGCGGUGAAAUGCGCAGAUAUCAGGAGGAACACCGGUGGCGAAGGCGGAUCUCUGGGCCGUAACUGACGCUGAGGAGCGAAAGCAUGGGGAGCGAACAGG
rnacentral:rRNA from 1 species